GCCGACGUGGCGAAAUUGGCAAACGCACUGGGUUUAGGACCCAGCGCUCGAAAGAGCUUGUCGGUUCAAGUCCGACCGUCGGCA
rnacentral:tRNA from 1 species